rnacentral:rRNA from 1 species
AACGAACGCUGGCGGCAGGCCUAACACAUGCAAGUCGAGCGAAGCCUUCGGGCUUAGCGGCGGACGGGUGAGUAACGCGUGGGAACGUGCCCUUUGGUACGGGAUAGCCCCGGGAAACUUGGAGUAAUACCGUAUGUGGUCGAGAGACGAAAGAUUUAUCGCCAAAGGAUCGGCCCGCGUUGGAUUAGGUAGUUGGUGGGGUAAUGGCCUACCAAGCCGACGAUCCAUAGCUGGUUUGAGAGGAUGAUCAGCCACACUGGGACUGAGACACGGCCCAGACUCCUACGGGAGGCAGCAGUGGGGAAUCUUAGACAAUGGGGGAAACCCUGAUCUAGCCAUGCCGCGUGAUCGAUGAAGGCCUUAGGGUUGUAAAGAUCUUUCAGUGGGGAAGAUAAUGACUGUACCCACAGAAGAAGCCCCGGCUAACUCCGUGCCAGCCGCCGCGGUAAAAC